AGAAUCAACGCUGGCGGCGUGCCUAACACAUGCAAGUCGAACGCGAAAGGGGAGCAAUCCCUGAGUAGAGUGGCAAACGGGUGAGUAACACGUGGGUGACCUGCCUCCGAGUGGGGGAUAACGUCCCGAAAGGGACGCUAAUACCGCAUAAUAUCCUGCCUUUGGAAAGGCGGAGAUCAAAGCUGGGGAUCGCAAGACCUGGCGCUUGAAGAGGGGCCCGCGCCUGAUUAGCUAGUUGGUGAGGUAACGGCUCACCAAGGCUACGAUCAGUA
rnacentral:rRNA from 1 species